UACGUAGGGUGCAAGCGUUAAUCGGAAUUACUGGGCGUAAAGCGUGCGCAGGCGGUUUUGUAAGUUUGUCGUGGAAGCCCCGGGCUCAACCUGGGAAUUGCGAUGAAGACUGCAAGGCUUGAAUCUGGCAGAGGGGGGUAGAAUUCCACGUGUAGCAGUGAAAUGCGUAGAGAUGUGGAGGAACACCGAUGGCGAAGGCAGCCCCCUGGGUCAAGAUUGACGCUCAUGCACGAAAGCGUGGGGAGCAAACAGG
rnacentral:rRNA from 1 species